ACGGAAGGCAGCAGUGGGGGAUAUUGCACAAUGGAGGGAACUCUGAUGCAGCAAUGCCGCGUGAGGGAAGAAGGUCUUCGGAUUGUAAACCUAAGUAGACAGGGACGAUAAUGACGGUACCUGUAUAGUAAGCUCCGGCUAACUACGUGCCAGCAGCCGCGGUAAUACGUAGGGAGCGAGCGUUGUCCGGAAUUACUGGGUGUAAAGGGUGCGUAGGCGGGUCUGCAAGUCAGGUGUGAAAUACCGGGGCUCAACUCCGGGGCUGCACUUGAAACUGUGGAUCUUGAGUGAAGUAGAGGUAAGUGGAAUUCCCAGUGUAGCGGUGAAAUGCGUAGAUAUUGGGAGGAACACCAGUGGCGAAGGCGACUUACUGGGCUUUAACUGACGCUGAGGCACGAAAGCAUGGGGAGCAAACAGGAUUAGAUACCCUGGUA
rnacentral:rRNA from 1 species